rnacentral:rRNA from 1 species
ACGAACGCUGGCGGCGUGCUUAACACAUGCAAGUCGAACGGAAAGGCCCUGCUUGCAGGGUACUCGAGUGGCGAACGGGUGAGUAACACGUGGGUGAUCUGCCCUGCACUUCGGGAUAAGCCUGGGAAACUGGGUCUAAUACCGGAUAGGAGCCAUUUUUAGUGUGAUGGUUGGAAAGUUUUUUCGGUGUAGGAUGAGCUCGCGGCCUAUCAGCUUGUUGGUGGGGUAAUGGCCUACCAAGGCGGCGACGGGUAGCCGGCCUGAGAGGGUGGACGGCCACAGUGGGACUGAGAUACGGCCCAGACUCCUACGGGAGGCAGCAGUGGGGAAUAUUGCACAAUGGGCGCAAGCCUGAUGCAGCGACGCCGCGUGGGGGAUGACGGCCUUCGGGUUGUAAACUCCUUUCGCUAGGGACGAAGCUUUUUGUGACGGUACCUAGAUAAGAAGCACCGGCUAACUACGUG